rnacentral:rRNA from 1 species
UGGGGAAUCUUGCACAAUGGACGAAAGUCUGAUGCAGCAACGCCGCGUGGGGGAUGAAGCUUUUCGGAGCGUAAACCCCUUUCGACCCGGAAGAAUGCCCGCAAGGGUUUGACGGUACGGGUAUAAGAAGCCCCGGCUAACUACGUGCCAGCAGCCGCGGUAAUACGUAGGGGGCCAGCGUUGCUCGGAAUUACUGGGCGUAAAGGGUCCGUAGGCGGUGUGGCAAGUCGGGAGUGAAAUCUCUGGGCUUAACCCAGAGGCUGCUUCCGAAACUGCCAUGCUAGAGUGUGAGAGAGGCGAGCGGAAUUACGGGUGUAGCGGUGAAAUGCGUAGAUAUCCGUAGGAACAUCCGAGGCGAAGGCGGCUCGCUGGAUCACAACUGACGCUGAGGGACGAAAGCUAGGGGAGCAAACAGGAUUAGAUACCCUGGUAGUCCUAGCCCUAAACCAUCAGGACUUGGGGUGUGCCCUGUACGGGGCACGUCCCGUAGCUAACGCGUUAAGUCCUGCGCCUGGGGAGUACGGUCGCAAGGCUG